UCGCCAGGUCCUUCUUUCUAGUCUGUCUUAGCCUGGAAGCUUUGCUGAAAUCUGUCCACCAUUGGUGACUCUAUCAGUGGCAUAGCUCCAGCAUCACAGCAACACACAAGCCACCACAGUAUGACAAAGUGACAGACGAUUGGCGGUACCUAAUCAUAAAGAACAAAUAAACCAUGACGUUUAAUUUUAAAAACAUAGUUACAAGCCUCAUUGUUUCAAGUGGACAAUGGAUAUGCAUAGAGAUUAUUCAUGGAAACCUAUAAAAUAACUUCAAGCUUUCAGUUUAUUUAGUCAGAAAUAUAUAAUCACAUUGAAAAUUGUAUGGCAUUGAUGCCCUGGUGGUGCAGUGGUUAAGAGCUACCGCUGCUGACCAAAAGGUCGGCGGUUCUAAUCCACCAGCCAUUCCUUGGAAACCCUCUGGGGCAGUUCUACUUUGUCCUAUAGGGUAGCUGUAGAAUAAACUCAGUGGCAGUGAGGCAGAGCAGGUGCAAAUGAAGUAUACUUGAACAUAGCUUUACAUGGUCCCAUCAUCCCUGAUGACAGUGCCCAAAGUAGGGCCACACAAGUGUGGAGAAACUUCAUCUCCACACUACAGCCUUUUUAUGCUUGGGGCUUACAUCACUGCUCAAGAAAAACAUGAUCUCUACUCUUAAUGCUUCCAUUUAAGAAAAUGUUUAAAAACAUUAAGCUCUUCUGAUUCUUGAACCAAAUUUAUGACAGUGAGGCCACAACUUCAUCUGAGGAGAAGAGCUGUGUUAGUGCCUGGGUCUCUGCCUACAGCUUUACAUUCCCAGAGUGACUGUUUCCCCCCACUCAAGCUAUAGGGAUACAGUAUGACAGAUACAUAUUUUUUCUUCCUGUCACUGUCUGAAGAUAGAGCAUUGAGAAUAUACAUCCAAACCCAUUGCUGUCGAGUCAAUUCCAACUCAUAGCGGCCCUAUUUAACAAAGUAUAACUGCCCCAUAGGGUUUCCUAGACUGUAAUCUUUACAGAAGCAGAUUGCCACAUCUUUCUCCCAGUAAACAGCUGGCAGAUUUCCGUUAGCAGCCAGACACUUAACUACUACACCACCAGGGCUCCUUGAGGAUACACAUAAAAAAAAUAGGCUAGUGAAAAUGGAGCCAUGCCUAAUUUGCUUAGCUUUAGAUUCAACAGGUGACUAGUCACUUACUGUUGGACUAUCCCACUAACAGCGUAAUAAUAUCAACCCUAUUCCUUCCUUUUCCUAGAUAUAUCCCUUCUGGAAAGCCUGGAAAGAAAGGGAGGUAUUUCAGCCUUUAUCAAAUUUUCAAAGAGGACCAUGACCCUUUUUAGAAAUAUAUUUUAAAGAGCAUCUUUUCUUCAAAUCUGUUUUUUGAAUCUUGCCAGAGUCACCUUUUUACAUAAAUCUUCAAGCUCCCACCAAAUAUUAUAUUAUUUCCCUUCUCAUUCUUAUUGUUUCGUCAAUCCUUGCCCCUUUAAUUAAAUUUCUGUCCCAAAGAAAUGACAUUUUCUUCUCAUUUUCCCAGAAGUCUAAGGAAACUUGAAGUGUUAGGAUAUCUGGCUUUAACCCUAAACAUUAUGUUGCUCUUAAUUGGCAUUUAACUGUUUCUAUAAUCUUACAUUUUUAAAAUAUAUAUAGUGUACGGCAAUGGAUGCAUCCUUGUUUGUUACACUAAAACUAGUGCCAUAGGUUUUUUUUUGUUUUGUUUUGUUUUUCAGUAUGAGCACCUUUGCUUAUGGCUUUCCCCUAGAAAUAAUCUUGCUUACUAAACAGUAUUGGUUUCCUGGGGAGAAUCUAUUCAUGAUGAAUUCUUUUUAGGGUAUAAAAUUGUGCUGUCUAUGUAAAACAAGGUUUUUAAAGUAAAAACUACAGUGACUUUCCAAUAAAGUCCUAAUAGAAUGUGGGGGUGGUACUUGACAAGGUGGUUCUAAACUGAAAGUAAAAUUUAGGGAAAUAAUUAAGGAAUUUUGAAGAUAAAGAAUUAGGGUAGCCGUAGCCUAUCAGAUGUUAUGAAACUACAAUAAUUAAAAUGGUGUGGUGGUACUGUUGCUGGUGGUGAGCAAAAUAACUGAAACAGGUGUUUGGCUCUUCCAUUCGUGGGGAUGUGAAUCGGUGCAAUGUUUAUGACAAGCUGUUAGGUUAUCCAUAGGAAAAGUUUUUGAAACAUGCAUUCUAUUGUACCCAUCAUUUCAAUUUUUAAAAAUUUUCAUAAGAAAACAAUUCAGUGUGUGCACAAAGAUUUAGUGAUGAGGGUGUUCAUCACAGCAGUUUUUAUUUUAAUACCAAAAAAUUGGAAACAACCUAAAUGCUCAGCAAAGGAUUAAGUAAAUAAAUUGAAACACCGUAUGCAGUUAAAAUUGUACUACAGAACUUCAGUUUUUGGUAAACAAAAUUUCAGAAUAUAUAAAAAAAAAAAAUUUUUUUUUUUAUAGUUGAGUGAGGUAAACAGUAUAUUAAACUUUAUGACACCAUUUUUUAAGGAAAAAGGUAUAUAAUAUAUACAAAACAACUGAAGAAUAUAUAUGAAAAUGUUUAUCUUGGGAUAUUGGUAUUGUGGGGGGGGUUGUUUCGUUUUGUUUUGCUAUAUCUGUUGGUUACACAAUUUAAAAAAAUAUAAGAAAUAUUUUUAAGGGAAGGUUGUAUGAAAUCUAGGGUUCCUAAAAGUAUCCAUUCUCCUAGUUUUCUUUGUCUUUAAAAUGAUAUUUUCUCAUUUUAAAGGAAUAUUUUAAAGGAGCAAAUCUUUUCAGCUUUUCAGCUUUAGUCAGAUUUGUGGGUUCUGUAAGAGGAAGGCAUUUCUCUAGAUGGAAAGGUAUUGGGACAUACCAGGAAGACGUUGCUAAACAGAAAGUUAUUUUUUUUUAAGUUAUGUUAAAGAGCUGUAGUGUAGCUCAGUGAGUGAAGACACCUGCCAUAUGUCUGUUUCCUACACAACAUGGUGAUUUACAAUUGCAAUUAGUCUGUUUAUAUACCUCAGUGUAGCUAACCCACGCUUAGGAUAUAAUAUAAGCCCAAGUCACUUCAUGUUUCUGGAUGUUUACUUUUCAAUUUUUAAAGCUUUUGAAAAAAUAGAAAUCCUGGUUUGAACCCAAUAGAAUUCUCUCUGCUUGUCAUUUUUUUAAGAACUAAAAGAAUAUAAAUGAGAUCUAUGGAUUUCUGAGUUUGAACACAGGGUCAUUUCCCGUGAUUACAGGCCUAGCCAGUUGGAAGAUGAAUUGUCAUGAAGUGAAUCUACUCCAAUUCCCAGUAAAAUCCUUUGCCCCCAGAAAACAAUCCAGCACAUGGAUCUGUUUGGUUGCUACUCUGCCACCUCACUUUUUCACUAGAAGUCCUACUGAAAAUUCUACAAAAGGCAGAAUAACUACUUUGGCCUUGAACUUGGACUUCUUAGGUUUUCUUCCCCCAACUUCUAAUAAAAUAACAAGAUACAGACUAGUUUCACUUACUGCUAUUGACUCUUCUACAGACUGCCUGCCAAAGACUAUAGUUGAAAAAAGAACUGAGGCCUUACUGAGAAUCCACUAUAUAAUAUAUUCAGCAUUCCUUUCUAAAACUGUACAACCUCUGUCCUGUCAUUUCUUCUUCUCCGAAGGAGUAACUGAAUUGUUUAACGGUUUGUUCUCUUUUUCCUUCCAGCAUGUAUGGUGUAGACUCUUUUCCAGGACUAGGCCCUGUGGCCAAGGCAGUGUAUAAGAUUCAUUUAUUAACUUAGAAUGGGUUGUAAUGCUCCUGAAACAGCUUUAUAAUUUUGAAUAUUGUCGAUUGAUUAGUGGGCAAAUCUUAAUACAUGGUUUUUUCUUAAUUAAAAGAGAAUGUGUUUCCAUAUAUCAACCUAAUUAAAAAUUUAAACUAAAUUCAGUUAUUUGUCGAUGUGCCCAUUCAACAAAUAUUAAUUGAGGACCUUAUGUAGCAAGCUGAGCCCCAGCCCUCAAGGAGCUUGAAGUCUGGUGGGCUGUCCAGGCAUUAAACAAAUAAACAUGUUAUUACAAUUUAUAAUAAAUACUGUUGAGGGGGUUAGGCAUUGGGAGUCUUAGUUUAGAUUUAUAUUUAUAGUCCUCCUGUUUUAAUAUGUAUAUAUUGCCUCUGAUAACAAUUGUCAAUUGUUAACAAACAUUGUGACCCAGAGGGACCUGCAGAAGUAUAGUCCUAUAGCCAAGGUAUAGUUUAGAAGGGUAGCAGAUCUGGGUUCAAUUCCUAGCCCAGUCGCGUACUGCCUCUGUUACUUUGAGUGAGUUACUUCUUUCAGCCUCAGUUUCUCAUUUGUAAAAUAUGUCUAGCAAUGCACAGGAUGAUGGAGCUGAUAUAAGGGUAAAAUUGAGUAAUGUAAAAAGAAACCAGGACUUGACCUUUGCGUAGUAAACCAAGACCAAACCUGUUGCCUUUGAGUCGAUUCUAACACUUAGUGACUCUGUAGGACAGAGUAGAAUGCCCCAUAUGGUUUCCAAGGAGCAGCUGGUGAAUUUGAACUGCCGACCUUUUUGGUUAGCAGCCGUAGCUCUUAACCACUGUGCCACCCGGGCUCCAAGGUACUCAAUUUUUUUCUCCAUUAAGCUUUCAUUGUACUUUGUCUCUGCUGUAUUUAUAGCUCAUAAAUCACUCUUUUGCAUCCUCAGAAAUGUCACAUAAUAGGUAUUCAACUAUUGCUAGCCAGCACUGAAUGAAUGAAAGGACAGCAAAAGUAGAGACAGAGAACUCUCUGUCUCAGUUGCCAGAGAACUUACUUUCUGAUACUGGGAAGCAGCUUUCGGAAUUAAAAUAAUUGGGAGACAGUUAUAAAGUCCAUUUACUUAGCUGUCAAGUCAGAACUAGCUAAAGGAACAGAUGAUAAGUUUUUAUUUGAAGGAUUUAGAUACAGACUUUUUGAAAAGCCAUAUAGCAUUAUAUAAUUGAGAGGUAUAAUCUCUGAACUUGUUUCCAGCCUAUAAUAAUUGUGCGAGUCUCCUUUGUAAGUACAAAACAGUUGUUACAGGUUGAAUAUGGAGGUUGGAGGAUGGUGAGUAUAGGAAUGGACAGAAUAGGAUGAGCAUGGCCUUCGUAUUGUGAUUUCCACUUAACUUUGCUUCCUGACCUCCCACUAUAGGCUUCUCAAUUGCCUCUCCCAAAUGCAAGCUGAAUCCUGCCUUUGUUCCUACUAUUUCUGUAUUGAAUGGCAACCUUUUCUAGCUUUUCAAAGCCUACCAUUCCUGAUAUAGAGAAAAUGUGGAUAAUACAGAAAGGAAGGGGGGACAUGUUUAUUUUAUUCCUAUGAAGGAGCUAAAGAGGCAGUGUGAUAGAAAAGAAAAAGAAUCAAAUAGUCCCAGAUCUGUAUCCUGGCUCUCAGCCACUUACAGGCAUAAUGCCACCACCACUCCAGGGCUCCCAUCCCAGUAUCAUCGUGAUGAUUAAAUGAGAUAAUAUGUAAAGUAUGGUCAUUAAACACUGGUCUUCAUUCCUUCUUCUAAGCUAAUGGAAGUUUUACUGAUAUUACUAAUCAUCAAAAGUUGUCAAACUUAGUGUCUCCUCAGAGAGAAGGCGGGAUUAUGUAUUAGUUACUUGCCAACUAUCUAAAAUGAGGAAAAAUUCCUGAGAAAUUUGUUUAAUUUAGAAGCUUUGGCCAACAGAGUAAAUGUCUUAGUUAUGUAGUGCUGCCAUAACAGAAAUACCACAAGUGGAUGGCUUUACAAGGAGAAAAUUUAUUUUCUCACAGUCUAGUAGGUUACAAGUCCAAAUUCAGGGCAUUGGCUCCAGGGGAAGGCUUUCUCUCUCUGUCCACUCUGGAGGAAGGUCCUCAUCCUCAAUCUUCCCUGGUCAAGGAGCUUCUCAGGCGCAGGGACGCCAUGUCCAAAGGAUGCGCUGUGCUCUGGUGCUGCUUUCUUGGUGGUAUGAAGUCCCCAACUCUCUGCUUGCUUCUCUUUAUAUCCCAAUGUAAAGGGAAACUGCCUUUACAUUGAAUCAGGGAGGUGACCUGAGCAAGGGUGGUGUUACAAUCCCACCCUAAUCCUCUCAACAUAAAAUUAAAAUUACAAAAUGGAGGACAGCCACAAAAUACGGGAAAUCAUGAGCUAACCAAGUUAACACACACAUUUUUGGGGGGAUAUAAUUCAAUCCGUGACAGUGAAUGUCCCCAUUUUCUGUAAUAUUUUUUCAUAGGUGGUAUAGUGGUUAAGAGCUAUGGCUGCUAACCGGAAGGUAGGCAGUUCAAAUCCACCAGGCACUCCUUGAAAACCCUAAAGUGUCCUUUAGGGUCACUAUGAGUCAGAAUCGGCUCGACAGCAACGGGUUUGAUUUUUUUUUUUAACCUGAAGUUGGGUGAAAGGAGAUAAAGUAGAUAACUUCUCAAGAUUUCUUCCAGCUCCAUUAUCCUGUGACUUUUCUAGAUCUGUUUUAUAGGUUGAGGUACAAAGUACUCAGGUACAAAGUGUUGUUUUAUAGAAUUGCUUCUAGCAUUAGGAAGAAAUUUGACAUUUUGAAAACACAUAAGACUAUUCACCAGCUGAGUAAUGUUUUACAGAUAACUAGCUUCUUAUCUCCUCUGACAUUAUUCAAAUUUAGAUCCUGCCUGUGCUUGAAGAUCAGGCAUUAUGUUUUAUACUUUCAAACACGUUUUCCCCCCAGCUUCCCCUUACCAAACCAAAAACCAAGCCCACUGCCAUUGAGUCGAUUCCAAUUCCUAGUGACCCUAUACAACAGUGUAGAGCUGUCCCUUGGGGUUUCCAAGGCUGUAAAUCUUUAUGGAAGCAGAAUGCCACAUCUUUCUCCUGCAGAGCAGCUGGUGGGUUCGAACUGCUAACUUUUAGGUUAGCAGCCAGGCGCAUUAACCAGUGUGCCACCAGGGCUCAACUUCCCCUUUGGGCAGUUAUUAUCUGUUCUCUUUUAUUAAUGUAGAAACAGGCUUAGAGAGGUUAGAAAACUUGCCCAAGAUCACGUGGACAGUAAGUAGUGGAGCUUAUAUGACAAAGCAAAAUCUUUUGACUGUAAAUCCAAAUAUUUUUCCAGAUUAUCAUAUGGUUUUGUUAUGAUACAAUAUGCAACUCUACAGUUCGUCAUCUGAAACCCUUGAGGUCAAAUUUGUUUUGGAAUUUAGAAUUCUUCAGAUUUUCAAAGCAUAGUAGUCUGGGCAGUACCCCAUAAUCAAGCACAGUAAUUUUUUUUUGCAGCAAAACAUGUAAAUAGUAAUUGGGAUAAAUAAAUCUUAUAAGUAAUUUUACCUCAGGUCAGAUCAGGUAUUCCCACCAGGUGAUUCACCUCAAAUUUACAGAAGAAAUUUCAGUUUUCAAAGCUUUUUGAAUUUCAGAAUGAUGGUUAAGGGAUUACAGACCAGAAUUUCCUUGUGGUUUUAAAAAAAAGAAAUUUUCUUCCCUUCCCUCCUACAGGGUCGCUAUGAGUCAGAAUUGACUCAAUGGCAAGAGGUUUGGUUUUUAACCAAUAAGUAUAUGGGCUGAAAAGUUACAGUAACUACUUUUUUUAGGGGGUAGGACAGUUGGACUCAGAUCGGUGAGAUUGAGAGGCAUUAUCCUAAGAGGAAAAUUUUGGAUAUUUUCAUAAAGAUAUGAUUCUUAAUUUUCCCAGAAAAAUUGACAUGUGAACCUGUUGAGAACCCUGUCACUUUGUGCUAAGCAUCAUCAGGCACUAAUUUCAUCAAGCUAAUCUAACAGGACAGCCAAGCGACUUGCCUUUAAUUUGUUGUGAUUGUGUUAUAUUUACGAAAAGGAGCUCUAAAGUAGAAGAUAAGCAAGUGUUGAGACACUGAUUAUUUUCAUAAAUAGUUUUUAAGAAUAUUGCCAAAUCCAAGUAGACGCAGAGUAAGUUUUCUGAAUAUAUAAAACAUAAGUCAUUCUUUUAGUAAUAAGUCACUAAAUGCAUACAAAUGUUAGAAAUGAUCACCUCAUUGCAAAUACAUUUUUAUAGCACCUCUCUGCCUGCUAAAUCUGUAUUACCUUUGAGAUUUAAACUCUAAAGAGAAGAGGUGGAAAAAGACUUCACAUAUAGGGAUUUAUUGUGUUGUUCUUGACUUUCCUGAAGAAGCCAUCACACUGACACCAUAGGUGGAAAAAGAAUGUUUUGCUCCUUCUGUGACACGUCACUAACGUAGUUAAUCCAGAGCCAUAAAUUUUUGUCUUCUGGGCCAAGAAGUUUUGAGUAAAAUACUAACAAAAAUGUUACACUUUUAAAUGAGAAGUGAAAGAAUCUUUAUCCUUUUUAUUUGAGUUUCCUGAAAUGGCACACUCCAUAAAAAUUGUAUCAUUUUUAUUUCUAAAUUGAGUUCUUGCAUUAGUCAGUAAACAGUUUAUUUGGUGAACAUUCUCUGUGCACAUAUAUACACCAUGUGAACAUAUAGGAAACAGAAGGUGCUUGAAUUUGUGAGAUUUAAAUAUUUUUUCACAGUUGAUCCAGUGAUACUGGAGUUGAAAUAAAACUACAUAUAAAUGAAAUACCACUUCCUACUAAAAACCAAGUAUAGAUUUUCUUUUAUUGUUUUAAUGAGGACAAUAAUUAUUUUAUUUAUUUACAGGAAUGUCUUCUAAAUCUUUAGCAGGCACAUUCUAAGACACCCAUAAAAUUCCACCUGUCCUAGUCACAAAUAUGCACAUACAUUUAAUUACAUUAUCUGACUACACUUAUUUUUUUUAAUAUCCUUGCAAAUACUACUAAAUUUUGAAACUACACGGAGAGCAAUGAGUCAGUUUCUCACUUAUAUGAUUCUUCUAAAAUCAUGUAUGCACAUAUAUUUAUAUCUGUAUUUUAAGUACAUUAUACAAAAAUAUGAGCUGUUGAGACCAUAGGUAGUAUACCAGAACAAGCAAAAGGAUACUCCCUAGCAUAGCGGCUUUUAGCCGCCUCCCAGAUAUCUUUGCUGUGGCCAUAAACUGACUCCUUCUCUUUCUGUAGGUUCCACAGUCUCUCAUCCUCAUAGGCAGUAAGUAUAAAAGUACAUCUGUACUUCUGUAUUGACCAAACACCUAAUAAGCACCUGUUAAGAGCUAAACACUGAAGGUUUAGAAUUAGACAGGGCAUGCAUAGGUCCUGCUUCCAAGAAGCUCACAGGCUAGACAGACGGGAGAAAUAAGAAAGUUAAGGAUCACCUCACGAAGUGGUAAUUGUUGGAGGAAUGGACAAAGAAUAAUGCAGAGAAAGGAGCAAAUAACUCAGCCUGUCGUAUCUGUGAAUAUUUUCAAGAGGAGGGGAUAACUUGAGCUAAGACAUGCAGAAUAACUAGGAAUUGGUUAGGUGGAGGGGGUGAGAAGGAAAGGAAAGAAUACCAAAAGUUAGUGAUGGGAAUAAAAGUGAAGGGAGUUUGUUUUGAAUGAAAACCUAGGUUGUGCUUUGUUAGUACAAUUGAAUUGAAAGUUAAGUGUCGUAGUAAAAAUCUUGGCAACCAUAGCAAAAGUUACAUAGCCUCAGUGUCUAAUUACAUGAACCUUCCAAAAUGCAUUAGUAGAAAUCUUUUCUUAAAUUUAAAGAUUAAUAUAUAACCUUACGGAGAUAUUGAACAAUACCAAUAGACAGUUUCUUUAAUUGUAGUACUUUUGUUGAUGUUUUUGUUCUUGUUAACAUUCAAGACACAAAAUCAUUCUUUAUGUGGCUGGUUCUUAUACUGAUUUAUGACAAAUAGCCAAAAUCAUAAUACUAAGUUCUAAGCUUCUGAAGGCCUUUCUUCCAGGGACUAAAAUAAUUUAAUACUGGUAGAAAGCUUCCUGAAGGUUUGCCUUGACACAAGGCUACAGAUUAGCAGAUCUAGAGAUAUUCGUGGUUAGCAGAUCUUCUGACCUCUUCUUCUCAAGAGUCAGUUGUCUCCACCAACCUUUUGAUAAAAAGCUAUAAAUCAUUUCCUUUAAGUUUAUUAUAAUGCAUAAACACCAGGAAGGGGUCGGUAAUUUAAAAGGCCAUCAUACACUGAAGACAAUAAUGUCUUAAGUAGAAGCCUACUUGCCUUUGCAAAAAAAAAAAAAAAACAUUUUUUAGAAGCCCUGUUGACAGUCACUGGAAUACCAUCCUACUUUUCCUGUCCACACCUCACUAUGUGAGACAGUACCUACCUAGCAUGAUACGAGGGAUAUGACGGGGAUCAGUAAACUUACAUACUAAACAACUGACUUAAAUAAUUAAUCCAUCUGGAUUUUAUUUUCAUGAAAAAUAAAAAUGGUUGACGUAACACACUCCUGUGCAGAGUUAUUCUGUGAAUAACAAUAAAAAACUCAUAAAAAUUAUCGAGAAGUACUUAGCAAGGCAUAGAGAACGAUGCAUUGUGAAAUGAGGAAAUAGUUUAGAUCUUUGAAGUUAUUAUUAACUCUGAUGUUGCUUCCAACCAUGAAUAUUGAAAUACUUUAACACAUGUUAAUUCUUACAAAACCUUCUAAAAUGAAUUCUUAAUAUCAAUGUAGAAUUUGAAGAAGAUUCAAUACUUUUUUUCCAAGUCAUGCAGACUCACCAGCGUCAGAGGCAAUCAACACAUGAAUGAGGCAUGACACUCAUGCAUUAUCUUUAAAUACUGAGUCACAAUUUUUAGCAUAAGUUAUUUCAGCAGAUAAGUUUUGUUUUGAAGACAGGCAAAAAAUCUAUUAGUAUCCAGCACUGGUAGAUCUAUUUCUUAUGAAUAUGAAUUACUUCUGAAAAUCCCCAAAGUAUGUUACUUGCUUAUCUAGUGCUGCUAUAACAGAAAUACCACAAGUGGAUGGCUUUAGCAAAGAAAUUUAUUUACUCACAGUCUAGUAGGCUGGAAGUCCAAAUUCAGGGCACCAGCUCCAGGGGAAGGCUUUCUCUAUCUGUCAGCUCUGAAGGAAGGCCCUUGUCAUCAGUGUUCCCUUGGUCAAGGAGCUUCUCCGUACAGGAACCCUGGGUCCAAAGACACGCUGUGCUCCUAAAGCUGCUUUCUUGGUUGUAUGAGGCCCUCAUGUCUCUCUGCUCGCUUCUCUUGUAUAUCUUAAAACAGAUUGGCUUAAGACACUAUCUAAUCUUGUAGCUCUCAUCAACAUAACUGCUGCUAAUUCAUCUCACUAACAUCAUAGUGAUAGUAUUUACAACACAUAGGGAAAUCACAUCAAAUGACAAAAUGGUGGACGAUCACACAGUACUGGGAAACAUGGCCUCACCAAGUUGACACAUGUUUUUAGGGGGACCCAAUUCAAUCCAUGACAGUAUGUAUAAUGAAACAUUUGUCAGGUCAAUAAUUUGGAGAAGUCUCCUUAAGGCAGCGGACUCGUGUUUAGUACAUUCCAGUGGGUAAUUGCCUUUUCAGACCCUUGCCACCAACUGAGAAUAGCUAGAAGGUGUAUAGCCUACUAACUUAAGAUUUCUAAAUGUUAAUUCUGUUGGCAUUUUAUAAGAAUAUUUAGAAAGCAGAAGAUAAGUAAUUAUUCUGAGAACAAUAGGGUAUUUUAUUGCAGUUUCUUGUAUCUCAAUUUGAGGUGAAAUAUAGCUCAUACGAAUCAUAAUGCCAGAUGACAGUUAUUUUUCAACCAGUUCCUAAAGUAGCUUACAUGUUAUACUUCAAGCGAUAUGAAAAUCCACCUGACUAAGCAUUUACCAAACCCUUUAUUGUCCAGUUCCUUAUGCUUUCUUACCCAAGAGAAAUAACUAUACCCCGUUCUCAAUUGUUUAUGAGUAGAUUGUUUGAGGAAUUAUAUCCAACAAAACCAUACUCUUGAGUUAGCUUUCUUUAGUUUCCCAGUACCAAACUAGUACAUUGUCAGCAAAUAGAAACUACCUUAAAUUAUGCCAAGAAGAAUAUAAACAAGAGAAUAAGUUUUCUCCCUCUACCUUCUUCCUUUCAUGAAUAAAUUUUUUAAAAACUGAAUUUGAAUUAUUUGGAUUACCUGCCAUUUUUAGUUAUCUUUAGUGACUACAUGGAUAAUCCAGAAACCCACUGCCCUUAAACACUUGUUAACAUUAAAAAAGUCACUAUUAAAAUUUAUUGUAUAGUAAUUUGAUACUGUCAAAUAGACACACAUAAAUGUCAAUGUUACCCUUUAUAGGAAAUGAGAAGGGAAAAAAAAGUAGAAUACAGUCUACUCUUUUCAGCUGUUAUAAUAGUUCAGACACUGUUUUUACUGCAAGUUACAGAACCCCAAUUCAAGCAGCUUCCAAAAAAAAAUGAAGAAGGAAGAAUUAUUGGCUUAUGUAAAACUGGAAAAUCCAGGGGUAGAUCUCUUUCUGGUAAUGCCAGAUCCUGGGGCUCAAAUUCUGUCAUCAGGAGUUUCCUUCCAUCUCCUUCUCUAUUUUUCUUUGCCUAUUGGCCUCAUUCUUUUUUAUUUGCAGGCAGGACUUUGUUCACACAGACAGAGAGUAGCUGCAGGCAGUUGCAAUAUCUUCUAUUCAUCAUUAGCCCAGUCAAAAAGCCCUCUGCCUUAGCAUCCAAAUAAGAAUCUUAGUGAAAACUCUGAUUGGCCCUGCCUGGGUAACAUGAUAAUGCUUGAACCGAUCAGUGAAGCCAAACAGAUUGAAAAAUGUGAUUGGCCAGCCUGGGCCAGUGUCCACAUCUACGGGAGGGAUGAGUUCAAUAAGGACAGUGUAGAUUUGAAGAGGAGUGCUUCUCCAAAGAAGGGUUGUUGGAAAAACAACAUAUGUCCACCAUAGUUGCCCUUGUGUCAGUGUCCUCAGUUUCUUGGGAAAUUUCAGGUAUGUACCACAAUCAAAUGCUUGUCUCACUCUUCUAACACAAGGUGAAAAUGUGAGAUAGCUAAAUAAAUGAAAUCCUAUAUUAUAAAAACGUGAACUGACCUAUCCGUCAGCAGAUUGAUAUUCAAGUGUGUGAUUCUGAAGUAGAUCUAAUUGCUAGAACAAUGCCCUGGUCAUUUUUGGCGUGUUUAUUGAGUACCACAUGAAGCCUGAAGCCCAUUAUGUGUAGGGCUUGCUUUCAGUAGUUUUUGUGCCAGUCAGUACCAUCAAGCUCUGGGAUGAGCCCACUUAUUUACCCACCUAUAUCUUGUUGUUGUUGUUGUUGUUAGAUGUUGUCAAGUGAGUUCCAACUCAUAGUGACCCUAUGUACUACAGAAGAACACUCUUCCUGGUCCUGCACUGUCCUUAUAAUCAUUGCUAUCUUUGAGCUUAUUGUUAUAGCCACUGUGUCAAUCCAUCUCCUUGAAGGUCUUCCUCUUUUUUCUCUGAUGCUGUGCUUUACCACGCAAGAUGUUCUUCUCCAGUGACUGGUCCCUCCUGAAAACAUGUUCAAAAUAUGUGAGACGAAGUCUCACCAUCCUUACUUCUAAGGAGCAUUCUGGCUGUACUUCUUCCAAGGCAGAUUUGUUUAUUCUUCUGUCAGCCCAUGGUAUAUUCAGGAUUCUUUGCCAACACCAUAAUUCAAAUGCAUCAAUUCUUCUUUGGCCUUCCUUGUUCAUUAUCCAGUUUUCUCAUGUGUAUGAGGUGAUUAAAAAUACCAUGAUGUGAGUCAGGCACACCUUAGUCCACAAAGUGACAUCUGCACAUAUCCUAGCGUAGAUUAAUAGCAUAGUACCAUAAACCAGUUUUGACAUUUAAACAUACUCAGACUUAGUCCACUAGUUCUUCAUAUUAACCCUACUUUAUCUAUUGGCACAACCAAAUUGUUUUUUUCAAGGGACCACUGCUGAUAUUUUGGGGUUAUUUUCCCCAGUAUUUAAUUUCUCUUUUGAUCAGAUUUUUAUUUGAUGUCUAUCUUUGAACAAAUAAUAGUAGGAUUGUAAUAAUCUGUUUUUUUUUAUUCUUUGGGAUUAGCAGGGUCCUCGUAUUUGUCACUUCAUUCUAUCCUGUACUUCAGGCAAAAUUAUCCCUAAGCUCUCACAGAUAAGUAUACUACGUUGUUUUUCGUUAUUGUUUUUUUAACUUCCAGUGAGAAAGAAAAACCCAGAACCUAUUUCAUUAUUCAUAAAUUAUUUUUAUAUCUGAUUGAAAUAAUAUAGGUUCUUACAAUCUUGUUUAUGUUCUUUUCCCCAGUUCUGGUUUUCUAAUUCUUAUUUCUCUAAAAAUUUUACUGUAUGCUAUCUUCUUGUAGUCUGCCUUAAAUCCUUCAUGAAAGAAGUGAGAUAUUAAGUGAUCAAUAAAGUAAUGAAACGUUCAAACUGAAAUCACUAAUGUAUCUGCUGCUCUCACUUCUUUCAGAGAAGGUAGAAAAUAUAUUGUCAGUGUCCUCUCAACGCUUUAUAUACAAUAAAAGUAUAUUCCAAAAUUGAAUUGCUCUCACAAAAACAAUUUAUUCAUUAAAUAUAUUGAUAGAUGAGUCAAUUUAUUAUAAAAUAUUGUUUUUAAUUGAUUAUAAGACAGUUUUAACUAGCUAAGUUUGAAUAUAUCUUGCAGUCAGUGGGAUAUAAAGCGUUAUAUCAUAGUUUAAUUGGCAGUGUUUUUUCUAAGGGGCACAUAACAUAAUGAUGAAUCUUAAAAUCAGUAGUGUUUUGGAUUACAUGAUACAUAGUACCCUAAUUGACUGUUACAUUUUCAUUUUCCCAAAGAGUUUCAUUAAGUCAGAUUUCUCUUGAGCAACAUCUUUUAAUAGGACUGAAUUUGAAGCUUGCAGUGUAAAGAGCCCCUUUUAUAAGCCAAACUUUCUUUUUAUACUGGUAAUAAUUACUCCUUAAUGUGUCCAUUUGUAAAAUCAAAUAUUGUAUUUCUUAAAUUGGAGCAGACUUAGGUUGAUAGCUUCGUUUAGCUAUCACCAUUCUGUUUGUAUAUACAAAAAACACUGGUGUUGCUCAGAUAUUAGUAGUUUAAGAUUUAGAAAUAGUUUUAUCUGUUUCACACAAAGUGAAAACAAAUUGAUACUGAGAACCUGUUAUUCUGUGUGAAACUGUUUACAUUAAUCUCGAUGAUUUAGUUAUGACUCUCUUGCUAUAAAUCUCCUUGCUGUGUUUCUGUUCUGAUUUAGUGCCUGGUUUAAAGACUAAUGUUACAGGAUAAUUUACUGCAGAUUCACAGAUGGUAUUUGAAUCUGUAUAAAUGGUCUUUGGAAUCCUAUGCACAAUUCCAUAUAAUGUUAGGUUAGCAUCAGCGUAAAUGUUAAACUUAUAACAGUUCUAAAAGAUCAUAAUAGAAAUUUCAUUAUCCCUUUCUAAAAACCAUAAAUUUUGAGGGGGUUUCAUGGACUGGAUAUUUUCACUUCACUGGCAGAGUAUGUAUAACUAGCUCCUUAUAUUUGAAAUCACUAGCUCCUGUGUGUUGAAAAUAAACAUAAAAAGUAAAUUACCUUGUUUUAAACCAUUCUAAAGUUCUAGUCACAGGAGAAGUCACUGUUCUUAUUUUUACAGCUUCCCAUAUGAAACGCCUUAUAGAAUCCACAAACACACAUUGCUUUUAGUGUCUCUCCUUUGAUGUCUAUAAAAGACCCAUUCAGAACUGGAGGCUACUUCUUCAAAUUUAAUUGCCCACCAAUGGCUUUUGUUUAUGUUCACAGUCAACUCUAAUGCACUUAAAGGAUAAGAAUUCAGCAGAGGAAUAACCUUAUCUUAUCAUGAGGUAUAGUUAACCCCUCUCAUCUAGCAUCAGACUUUGGCUUCUUCCUCAUCUCCUUAUGUAAUACCCACCCAUAAACAAGAGGGAUGCCGUAGAACUUUAAUCAUUCUUUUCCUUUCCCCAUUAAAGUCAUGCCUUGUAAGAUUAUUUCUGUAGUUUCUUUCUACCUAGAAAAACUGUUUUUAAGGCAUUAGGCAGCACUAUUUUUUUCCCUUUCAACACUUUUUUUUCCCUUUCAACAUUUUUUAUGUUACUACCUUGGUCUUGGAUUGUCAUUACUAUUAUGUGUAUUACAGAUUUUUAUAAACUAUAGAUUAUUUGGAGCUUGGAGGUGCAGUGGUUAAGCGCUACAGCUACUAACCAAAAGGCCAGCAGUUUGAAUCCAUCAGCUGCUCCUUGGAAACCCUAUGGGGCAGCUCUACUCUGUCCUAUAGGGUUGCUAUGAGUCAGAAUUGACUCAACGGCAAUGGGUUUGGUUCCAAUAGGUUUAUAGAUUAUUUAUUAUCCAUAAAGUAAUCUGUGGCAAAGUUUUAAGAUGGGAAGCAUCAAGCCACACUAUCCCAAAGGAAAGAAAAGAAAAUCAAAAAUUCAAGUUAUCCUAGGUCACCAGAAACAGGGACCUCACUGCAUUAAAAGUCCAGACUUAAAAUCAUAGUUUUCAUUUAAGUACCACAAGAAGUAAUUAGGAUGUAUUCUUCCCUUAAGUCCCCCAUCUCAGUCUUUCAUACACAUAACACUGGUUGGUAGUUCACGGGUGAACCAUUUUUUAUUUUAGUAGUUAUUUGUUUAUUGUAAUAUGUACAGUGAAACCUGUGAGAGCCGAAACUCGAGGAGUCUGGCUUGUUUACGGGGUCUCACAAGUUUUCUGCCUUUGACAGGGUGCCUGCAGUCUUACUACUUUUUAUUACUCAUUUUAAUGGAAAAUAUUUUAUUUCUCCUUCUCCGACAGAUUUCUGCCUUGCACAGGUUCUGACUUUCACAGGUUUCACUGUAUUAGAAAAAGAUAUGAAUAACACGUGAAACCAAUUUAAUCGAUAUUAUUGCUUAAGAUAAGACAAGUGCAAAAAGUGAGUUUAUGUGAAGAAAAUACUGAAUAAUUAAUAGUACUCAUAGUUUGUGCAUGUGGAAAAAUGGAUAAGUGUUAUACAAAUGACUAAGUUAGGGAAACAAUACUCUGUCUAAAGAUGAAAUUCCUGUAACUUUUCUUCCAUCCAAGAACUCACAAGAUUCUUUUAUCACUUCUUUAAUGCGUACUGUCUGUUGACCAUGGUUUAUUUGAUUUAUGUGUAUAUUUGGCAAUUUAGUCUUUUGUCUCUAUAUCUUUCUAUGGCAUUUAGAAAGCCAGCUUCUCUGGGCUUCAGGCUUAGACUAGAUGAUGUCUAAGACUUCUUCCUAUGAAUUUUUAACUCCCUGCAGCAAGGUUAUCAUUUCUCAGCUGAUAAGCUCCCGAAGGUUGAGAACCACUAUAUAACUUGAUCUAAGUAGUGUCUCCACUAGUGUCUAGCAUAGUUAAAAACUCAAAUCACCUUCAAUAAGUAUAUCCCUAUGGAUUGAUUCUCAUUUUCUAAUAAUAAAUCUAAGCCAUGAGAUUGUCCUAAACUAACAUACAAUUUUAAUUAUUGUAUGAAUAAUUUAAAACCUUUUCCCAUAAAACCAAAGGAGACUUAAGGAACACACUAGCCCAGGGGCAAGAUCUAGAAGGCAGAAGGAGACAGGAAAGCUGAUAAUAAGGAACCCAAAGUCGAGAAGGGAGAGUGUUGACCUGUCAUGGGGUUGUUAACCAAUGUCAUAAAAUAAUAUAUGUACUGUUUAAUUAGAAGCUAGUUUGUUCUGUAAACCUUCAUCUAAAGUACAGUAAAAAGUAAUAAUAAUUUAAAACUUUUUAAAAAUAAACAGAAGACUCAUGUCUUUCUUAAAGUUCAUAGAGACACUGAUCUUUUUUUCAUGCUGGGAUUUCUUGAGCAAUGACACCAAGGACAGUAUUGGAAAAUCUAAUUUUUUUCCUUCCGUACUAUCUUAUGAUUAACUAUGAGAGUAAGACAUCAAAGGUGAACUGACUUCAAAGCCUGUAACACUUACGGUUUCCAGCUAUUACUGUAACCAGCCGCUUCACCCUGCCGGUAAUUCAUCUUACAGAGCUGGCUCACUAGGUUCCACCCCUCUGCCUUCUACCUCCUUCUUUUCUAAACCUAUCAAAUUAAAAUCUACCCUUUAAAUGAAUCUCAGAGUUAAACCAGUUCACAGAGUUAGCAUUUAUUUUAUUUCAAGAUUUUACCACUAUAAAAAUAGACUAUAUUUAUUACUUAUUUAUUCACUUUUUCCAAAAUUAUGCUUUUAACCCCAAAGCCUUAAGGUACGUUAACAUUAAACAUGUAAUAUUUUCCAUUAUGUUUGUGAGUUUUUCAAAGUGUAAUAUGUACAGGUAAGUGCGAUUAUGUAUACACCUACCAGUUCAGUUAGGCAUCACAAAUGAAAAAAAGGUGAGCCUGGUAUUUGGCCCUAUAAAUCAAUGAAAUAAAAGGAAGAAUUCCAAAACAUUGAUUCUCCAUCAUAAAUUCCUGGAAUGUAAUUCUUAGAAACAUAUGCUUUCUCUAGUAAGAGAAAUAAAAUCUCAUAAAUAGUUUUCCAGCUACUUAAAAAUUUUUAUUAAAAUUUGAGCUUUUUCUACACUCAUAGCCUACUAGUAGCUGCCUUAUCAUAAGCUGCAGUGCAGUUUCUUGCAAACUGGAGAUUUAGCAUCAGCUAAAAAUUUUUUUUUUUUUCUUUUAAUGGCCCAGCUAACAAAUUUUAAAUUAUUUUACUUGAAUUAUUUGGUACAAUUGAUGGUAGGUAUUUAGCAGCACUAGGGGAAAACAUCUCUUGAGAUCUCAUAGAUAGCAUCCAGAUUACAAAGCUGUGGCACCAAAAGAACUCAGAGAAGACUUAAUAGUUUAGCUGCUCUCAACCUUGACCCAUAUAUAAGGUUCUGAAUAGGCAUUAUUACAAAGACUUUGUGAAUCAUGGAAAUUAAGUAGGCUCAAUGUAAUAUUUGAAAUACUUAAGAAAUGGAUUGGGCUGUGUCUUAGUUAUCUACUGCUGCUAUAACAGAAAUACCACAAGUGGAUGGCUUUAACAAAGAGAAAUUUAUUUCCUCACAGAAAAGUAGGCUAAGAAGUCCAAAUUCAGGGCAUCAGCUCCAGGGGAAGGCUUUCUUUCUGUGUCAGCCUUCUCAUCAGUCUUCCCCGGACUAGGAGCUUUUCUGCAUAGGGGCCCCAAGUCCAAAGGAUGCACUUUGCUCCCGGCUCUCCUUUCUUGGUGGUAUGAGGUCCUCCACUCUCUGCUUGCUUCCCUUUCCUUUUAUCUGUUGUAAGAUAAAAGGUGAUGCAGGCCGCACCCCAGGGAAACUCCCUUUACAUUGGAUCAGGGGUGUAACCUUAGUAAGGGUGUUUUAAUCCCACCCGAAUCCUCUUUAACAUAAAAUUACAAUCACAAAAUAGAGGAUAUCCACACAAUACUGGGAAUCAUGAACCAGCCAAAUUGCUACACACAUUUUUGGGGGGACAUAAUUCAAUCCAUGACAGGCUGCAUUAUAAACUAACAAGCUUUCUAUCUUUUGAAUCAUUCGAGCGAAGUCUUAAUGACCACUUUUUAAGAAUUUGAUAGCGAGAAUUCUUACACUGGGUAGGAGAUUGGACUAAAGAAUUAUUUAAUAUCUGUUUUUCAAUCCUAGGUUCUUAAAUUACUAAACUUUUAAAUUUUUUUUUUUUUUUUAAGAAUAUGAGGGAACCGAAAUGAAGAUUAAGAAAUGGCAAUAACAUGUGGCUUUUGACAGCUCAGGUUGCACAGUGGCUAAGCACUCAUCUGCUAACUGAAAGGUCAGCAGUUCAGUCUCACCAGAGGCUCCACAGAAGAAAAGACCUGGCAAUCUGCUUCUGUAAAGAUUGCAACCUAGGAAACCCUCUGAGGCAGUUCUGCUCUGUCCUAUAGGGUCGCUAUAAGUGAGGAUUGACUCUGUGGCACACAGAAACAACAGCAUUGACCAAAAAACCAAAACCAAAUGGAUUUUGAAAAGAAAGACCCAUAAAGGGGUGUUUUGAAUGGAUAUGAAAGGGAAAGUCAUGAUGGUCUUUGUAGAUAAGGGACACAAAAAAAGAAUGCACCUUUCUUCUGGUGCUGAAGGUUGGGAGAAAGGAACCCACUCUGAAAUGCUUAGAAAAAUGAGCAUAGGGAAAAGGAGAAAGGAAAUUUUUUUUUAGAGAUAUAAUUAACGUAGCAUAUAAUGCACUCAUUUAAAUUGUACAGUUUAAUGUUUUUUUGUUCACAGAUAAGUGAAACUAUCACUACAGUUAUAGGACAAUUUUCGUCACUUCGUAAAUAAAACCCAUACCCAUUAACUAUCACCCCAGAUGUUCUUCCAUCCCAAGCAACCACCAAUCCGCUCUCUGUCCUUAUAGAUUUGUGUAUUCUAUACACAAAUAGUAUGUAUAGAAUACACAAUACACAAUAGUAUGUAUAGAAUACACAAUACACAAUAGUAUGUAUAGAAUACACAAAUCUAUAGAGAUAGAGAGCGGAUUGGUGGUUGCUUGGGAUGGAAGAACAUCUGGGGUGAUUGUUAAUGGGUACGGGUUUUAUUUACGAAGUGAAGAAAAUGUCCUGUAACUGUAGUGAUAGUUUCACUUAUCUGUGAAUAAAAAAAAAAUGUGUGUGGUGGAAACCCUGGUGGUGUAGUGGUUAAGUGCUAUGGCUGCUAAUCGGAAUCGACUUGAUGGCAGUGGGUUUUAGUGGGUAUACUAUGUGGUCUUUUGUGCCUGGCUUCUUUCACUUAGGAUAAUGUUUUCAAGGUUCAUCCAAGUUGUAGCAUAUAUCGAUACUUCAUUCCUUUAUAUGGUGGAAUAAUAUUCCAUUGUAUGAAUAUACUACAUUUGGUUUAUCCAUUCAUCAGUUGAUGGAGAUUUAGGUUGUUUAUGCCUUUGGCUAUUGUGACUGAAUAGUACUGCUAUGAAUAUUUAUGUACAAGUAUUUGUUUGAAUACCUAUUUUUUUUUUUUAUUGUGCUUUAGGUGAAGGUUUACAGAGCACAUUAGUUUCCCACUCAAUAGUCUAUACAAAACUUGUUGCAUGUCAUUGGUUGCAACACCUGCAAUGUGUCAGCACUCUUCCCAUUACCACCCUGUGUUCCCCAUUUCCAUUCAUCAGGAAACUUUUUAAAGAUUGAGAAUCCAAGUGAAUGUUCAGACUGCUAGAAAUAGAAACCAAAGAAUUUGUACCUGUAGUACUUGAAAGAAGGGAAUAAAGCCUAUAGAAAAGUAAAACACUAAAUUUUUAUUUCAUUGGAGAUAGACAGUACAUGGACUUUGAAAGGUUCGGGUUUACUUAGAAAGGCUACUUAACAAGCAGUUUCUACAAUUAAGUUUUUAUAUUCUGUGAUGUGGUCACAGCAGCUUAUAAGCAAGAUAGCCUUUGUACAUAUCUUUUAACAAACAGGUAAGAAUGGCAGAAUUAGGUAAGAAAAGGACCCAAGAAUCAUGUUAAGGUAUGACACAAAAAAGUGGGUAGAAAGUUUAACAGUAAAAACAGAAGGAAAAUGUUGAUUGAGAGUGGUAGAAAUCAUAUCUUAAUUGGCAGUUCUCCUCAGUUCUGUUUUGAAGAGUAUAAUAAUUGCAGGGAACUGAAAAAAAAAAAACAGUACAAGUACAGGAAGAUGAGAGUCACUAACCAAUAUGUGACUUUGGGUUAGUCAUUCAGCUU